CCAAUAGCGUAUAUUAAAGUUGUUGCAGUUAAAAAGCUCGUAGUUGAAUUUCGGGAUUAGUACGCUGGUCGUGCCUUUGGUAUGUACUGGUGUUACUGAUUCCUACCUUCUGACGAACCGUCAUGUCAUUAAUUUGGUGUGGCGGGAAAUCAGGACUGUUACUUUGAAAAAAUUAGAGUGUUUAAAGCAGGCUCGCGCUUGAAUACAUUAGCAUGGAAUAAUGAAAUAGGACGUUCGAUCCUAUUUUGUUGGUUUCUAGGAUUGACGUAAUGAUUAAUAGGGAUAGUUGGGGGCAUUAGUAUUCAAUUGUCAGAGGUGAAAUUCUUGGAUUUAUUGAAGACUAACUACUGCGAAAGCAUUUGCCAAGGAUGUUUUCAUUAAUCAAGAACGAAAGUUAGGGGAUCGAAGACGAUCAGAUACCGUCGUAGUCUUAACCAUAAACUAUGCCGACUAGGGAUCGGAUGAUGUUAUUUUUAAUGACUCAUUCGGCGCCUUACG
rnacentral:rRNA from 1 species